rnacentral:SRP_RNA from 1 species
ACCAGGCGCGGUGGCGCAUGCCUGUAGUCCCAGCUACUCCGGAGGCUGAGGCUGGAGGAUCACUUGAGCCCAGGAGUUCUGGGCUGUGGUGCGCUAUGCCGAUCGGGUGUCCGCACUAAGUUCGGGAUCAAUAAGGUGACCUCCCGGGAGCAGGGGACCACCAGGUUGCCUAAGGAGGGGUGAACCGGUCCAGGUCGGAAACGGAGCAGGUCAAAACUCCCGUGCUGAUCAGUAGUGGGAUCACACCUGUGAAUAGCCCCUGCACUCCAGCCUGGGCAACGUAGUGAGAUGCCGUCUCU